GACGAACGCUGGCGGCGUGCUUAACACAUGCGAGUCGAACGGUGAAGCGCCUUCCUUUUUGGUGGGUGUGGAUGAGUGGCGAACGGGUGAGUAACACGUGAGUAACCUGCCCCCUUCUUCUGGAUAACCGCAUGAAAGUGUGGCUAAUACGGGAUAUUCUGGGUCUGUCGCAUGAUGGGUCUGGGAAAGAUAUUGUUUCGGUGGGGGAUGGGCUCGCGGCCUAUCAGCUUGUUGGUGGGGUGAUGGCCUACCAAGGCGGUGACGGGUAGCCGGCCUGAGAGGGUGGACGGUCACACUGGGACUGAGACACGGCCCAGACUCCUACGGGAGGCAGCAGUGGGGAAUAGUGCACAAUGGGCGCAAGCCUGAUGCAGCGACGCCGCGUGAGGGAUGGAGGCCUUCGGGUUGUGAACCUCUUUCGCCAGUGAAGCAGGCCUGCCUCGUUUGUGGGUGGGUUGACGGUAGCUGGAUAAGAAGCGCCGGCUAACUACGUG
rnacentral:rRNA from 1 species